rnacentral:rRNA from 1 species
AGUGAACGCUGGCGGUAGGCCUAACACAUGCAAGUCGAACGGCAGCACAGUAAGAGCUUGCUCUUACGGGUGGCGAGUGGCGGACGGGUGAGGAAUACAUCGGAAUCUACUUUUUCGUGGGGGAUCACGUAGGGAAACUUACGCUAAUACCGCAUACGACCUACGGGUGAAAGCAGUGGAUCUUCGGACCUUGCGCGAUUGAAUGAGCCGAUGUCGGAUUAGCUAGUUGGCGGGGUAAAGGCCCACCAAGGCGACGAUCCGUAGCUGGUCUGAGAGGAUGGUAGGCCACACUGGAGCUGAGACACGGUCCAGACUCCUACGGGAGGCAGCAGUGGGGAAUAUUGGACAAUGGGCGCAAGCCUGAUCCAGCCAUACCGCGUGGGUGAAGAAGGCGUUCGGGUUGUAAAGCCCUUUUGUUGGGAAAGAAAAGCAGCAGGUUAAUACCCCGCUGUUCUGACGGUACCCAAAGAAUAAGCACCGGCUAACUUCGUG